CCUACGGGCGGCAGCAGUGAGGAAUAUUGGUCAAUGGACGAGAGUCUGAACCAGCCAAGUAGCGUGAAGGAUGACUGCCCUAUGGGUUGUAAACUUCUUUUAUAUGGGAAUAAAACGUUCCACGUGUGGGAUUUUGUAUGUACCAUAUGAAUAAGGAUCGGCUAACUCCGUGCCAGCAGCCGCGGUAAUCCGGAGGAUCCGAGCGUUAUCCGGAUUUAUUGGGUUUAAAGGGAGCGUAGGUGGAGUGUUAAGUCAGUUGUGAAAGUUUGCGGCUCAACCGUAAAAUUGCAGUUGAAACUGGCAGUCUGGAGUACAGUAGAGGUGGGAGGAAUUCGUGGUGUAGCGGUGAAAUGCUUAGAUAUCACGAAGAACUCCGAUUGCGAAGGCAGUUCACUGGACUGCAACUGACACUGAGGCUCGAAAGUGUGGGUAUCAAACAGGAUUAGAUACCCCUGUAGUC
rnacentral:rRNA from 1 species